rnacentral:rRNA from 1 species
CCUACGGGAGGCAGCAGUGGGGAAUAUUGGACAAUGGGGGCAACCCUGAUCCAGCCAUGCCGCGUGUGUGAAGAAGGCCCUCGGGUUGUAAAGCACUUUCAGUGAGGAAGAACGCCUGGUGGUUAAUACCCAUCAGGAAAGACAUCACUCACAGAAGAAGCACCGGCUAACACCGUGCCAGCAGCCGCGGUAAUACGGAGGGUGCGAGCGUUAAUCGGAAUUACUGGGCGUAAAGCGCGCGUAGGUGGCUUGAUAAGCCGGUUGUGAAAGCCCCGGGCUCAACCUGGGAACGGCAUCCGGAACUGUCAAGCUAGAGUGCAGGAGAGGAAGGUAGAAUUCCCGGUGUAGCGGUGAAAUGCGUAGAGAUCGGGAGGAAUACCAGUGGCGAAGGCGGCCUUCUGGACUGACACUGACACUGAGGUGCGAAAGCGUGGGUAGCAAACAGGAUUAGAUACCCCAGUAGUC